rnacentral:rRNA from 2 species
GAGCGAACAGAGAAGGAGCUUGCUCCUUUGACGUUAGCGGCGGACGGGUGAGUAACACGUGGGCAACCUACCCUAUAGUUUGGGAUAACUCCGGGAAACCGGGGCUAAUACCGAAUAAUUUAUUUCAUCUCAUGGUGAAAUACUGAAAGACGGUUUCGGCUGUCGCUAUAGGAUGGGCCCGCGGCGCAUUAGCUAGUUGGUGAGGUAACGGCUCACCAAGGCGACGAUGCGUAGCCGACCUGAGAGGGUGAUCGGCCACACUGGGACUGAGACACGGCCCAGACUCCUACGGGAGGCAGCAGUAGGGAAUCUUCCACAAUGGGCGAAAGCCUGAUGGAGCAACGCCGCGUGAGUGAAGAAGGAUUUCGGUUCGUAAAACUCUGUUGUAAGGGAAGAACAAGUACAGUAGUAACUGGCUGUACCUUGACGGUACCUUAUUAGAAAGCCACGGCUAACUACGUGCCAGCAGCCGCGGUAAUACGUAGGUGGCAAGCGUUGUCCGGAAUUAUUGGGCGUAAAGCGC